rnacentral:lncRNA from 1 species
CAAAGUCUUUCAGUUCUCUCCUCUGUACCUCCCUCUGACUGCCCACCACUCACUGGACCAGCACCCAGGUUAAGCAACUCCCCCAUCCCUCCACUCCAACCCAGAGGGGGGACGCAGACCUUUGUAGCUGCUUCUAGAAGACACUGAGUGGACCCUUUGGGAAGUCACUCUCUGGAGGUGGUGCUGAGAAUGUAAAUGAAGCUUUC